rnacentral:rRNA from 1 species
UACGUAGGGGGCUAGCGUUGUCCGGAAUCAUUGGGCGUAAAGCGCGUGUAGGCGGUCCGGUAAGUCCGCUGUGAAAGUCGGGGGCUCAACCCUCGAAAGCCGGUGGAUACUGUUGGGCUAGAGUACGGAAGAGGCGAGUGGAAUUCCUGGUGUAGCGGUGAAAUGCGCAGAUAUCAGGAGGAACACCAAUUGCGAAGGCAGCUCGCUGGGACGUUACUGACGCUGAGACGCGAAAGCGUGGGGAGCGAACAGG